rnacentral:rRNA from 1 species
GAACGAGAAAGUGGAGCAAUCCAUGAGUAAAGUGGCGACCGGUGUGAGUAACACGUGACUAACCUACCUCCGAGUGGGGAAUAACUCCGGGAAACCGGGGCUAAUACCGCAUAACAUCGCAAGAUCAAAGCAGCAAUGCGCUUGGAGAGGGGGUCGCGGCUGAUUAGCUCGUUGGCGGGGUAACGGCCCACCAAGGCGAAGAUCGGUAUCCGGCCUGAGAGGGCGCACGGACACACUGGAACUGAAACACGGUCCAGACUCCUACGGGAGGCAGCAGUGGGGAAUUUUGCGCAAUGGGGGAAACCCUGACGCAGCAACGCCGCGUGGAGGAUGAAGCCCUUUGGGGCGUAAACUCCUUUCGACUCGGACGAUAAUGACGGUACGAGUGGAAGAAGCACCGGCUAACUCUGUG